rnacentral:rRNA from 1 species
UACAGAGGGUGCGAGCGUUGUCCGGAAUCACUGGGCGUAAAGGGCGCGUAGGUGGCGACCCAAGUCAAUGGUGAAAGCUCGAUGCUCAACAUCGAGUCGGCCACUGAUACUGGGUUGCUGGAGCACUGUAGAGGCAGAUGGAAUUCCGGGUGUAGCGGUGGAAUGCGUAGAGAUCCGGAAGAACACCGGUGGCGAAGGCGGCCUGCUGGGCAGUGCUGACACUGAGGCGCGACAGCGUGGGGAGCAAACAGG